UUGAUAAUUCAGAAUUAAGUGAGUUAAUGAUUGACGUCUACUCAUAAAAUCUGACCUGCCUCCUCACCUCCCGCAAACAGUGCCUUUCCUAAUGCCCCCGCUGCAAGGAAUAUGGCAAAUAGAAGUUCAGUCCUUCUUGCCCUGCCCAGCCCUGCUCAGGCCUCAGCCAGACUUCACAGCUCCCCACAGAUGACUGUUACAUGUCUUAGCACCUUGGUUCCCUUUCAGAGCCAGAAGCUCACAAAUCUGACCGACGGGAAAAGCCUGGUGCAACCUUGCAGCCUUUCUAGAAAAUGGGCAGAGGACAAAGGAGAGCUGGGACCCAUUUCCUUGCCACACCAGGCCUGAGGGACAGCAGGAUGGUCCUCUCCAGAGCUCUGCACACUGGCUGGCUCCUGGCCAGGAUGGGAUGGCACGAAUGUGGGAGGCCAAAGGAACACAGAUGGCAGGGAGCGGAAGGCCACCUCCAGCUCCCCCCCCCCAGGGUCCUUGAGCUCAACUUGCCUUCUGGGACCACAUAUUAAUAAAACAAUGGAAUUUUUA